UACGUAGGGUGCAAGCGUUAAUCGGAAUUACUGGGCGUAAAGCGUGCGCAGGCGGUUAUGUAAGACAGAUGUGAAAUGCCCGGGCUUAACCUGGGAACUGCAUUUGUGACUGCAUGGCUAGAGUGUGUCAGAGGGGGGUAGAAUUCCACGUGUAGCAGUGAAAUGCGUAGAUAUGUGGAGGAAUACCGAUGGCGAAGGCAGCCCCCUGGGUUAACACUGACGCUCAGGCACGAAAGCGUGGGGAGCAAACAGG
rnacentral:rRNA from 1 species